UGAAGAASGUAGCAAAAUGCGAUACUUGGUGUGAAUUGCAGAAUCCCGUGAACCAUCGAGUUUUUGAACGCAAGUUGCGCCCGAAGCCAUCCGGCCGAGGGCACGUCUGCCUGGGCGUCACGCAUC
rnacentral:rRNA from 1 species